GUUAUGUAUUGUUAUGUAGUAUUAUGUAUGGUUAUGUAUUGUUAUGUAGUGUUAUGUAUUGUUAUGUAUUGUUAUGUAGUGGUAUGUAUUGUUAUGUAUUGUUAAAGGCAUGUAUUGUUAUGUAUUGGUAUGUAUUGUUAAUGGCAUGUAUUGUUUUGUAUGGUUAUGUAGUGUUAUGUAUUGUUAUGUAGUGUUAUGUAUUGGUAUGUAUUGUUAUGUAUUGUUAAAGGUAUGCAGUGGUAUGUAUUGUUAUGUAUUGUUAAAGGCAUGUAUUGUUAUGUAUUGUUAUGUAUUGGUAUGUAUUGUUAAAGGCAUGUAUUGUUAUGUAUUGUUAUGUAUUGGUAUGUAUUGUUAAAGGCAUGUAUAUUGUUAUGUAUUGGUAUGUAUUGUUAAAGGCAUGUAUUGUUAUGUAUUGGUAUGUAUUGUUAAAGGUAUGUAGUGGUAUGUAUUGUUUUGUAUUCUUAUGUAUUCUUAAAGGUAUGUAGUGGUAUGUAUUGUUAUGUAUUGUUAUGUAUUGUUAAAGGCAUGUAUUGUUAUGUAUUGUUAUGUAUUGUUAAAGGCAUGUAUUGUUAUGUAUUGUUAUGUAUUGUUAAAGGCAUGUAUUGUUAUGUAUUGUUAUGUAUUGUUAAAGGCAUGUAUUGGUAUGUAUUGUUAUGUAUUGUUAUGUAUUGUUAAAGUUAUGUAUUGUUAUGUAUUGUUAUGUAUUGUUAAAGUUAUGUAUUGUUAUGUAUUGGUAUGUAUUGUUAAAGGUAUGUAUUGUUAUGUAUUGGUAUGUAUUGGUAUGUAUUGUUAAAGGUAUGUAUUGGUAUGUAUUGGUAUGUAUUGUUAAAGGUAUGUAGUGGUAUGUAUUGUUAUGUAUUGUUAUGUAUUGUUAAAGGUAU